rnacentral:rRNA from 1 species
GAUGAACGCUGGCGGCGUGCUUAACACAUGCAAGUCGAACGGAAAGGCUCCUGCUUGCAGGGGUACUCGAGUGGCGAACGGGUGAGUAACACGUGGGUGAUCUGCCCUGCACUUCGGGAUAAGCCUGGGAAACUGGGUCUAAUACCGGAUAGGACGAUGGUUUGGAUGCCAUUGUGGAAAGUUUUUCGGUGUGGGAUGAGCUCGCUGCCUAUCAGCUUGUUGGUGGGGUAAUGGCCUACCAAGGCGUCGACGGGUAGCCGGCCUGAGAGGGUGUACGGCCACAUUGGGACUGAGAUACGGCCCAGACUCCUACGGGAGGCAGCAGUGGGGAAUAUUGCACAAUGGGCGCAAGCCUGAUGCAGCGACGCCGCGUGGGGGAUGACGGCCUUCGGGUUGUAAACUCCUUUCGCUAGGGACGAAGCGCAAGUGACGGUACCUGGAGAAGAAGCACCGGCUAACUACGUG